UGGCAUCGCCUUGUUCUUGAAGGGUGCACGUGCAUGUCCGACGAGGCUGAGUUUAAGAGGGCCGGUGCGCUCUUCAGCGCGGGCAAGUACCACGAGGCGAUCAGCGUGUACUCCGUGAUAGAGGCGUUGGAUGGGGCAACAGCGGAGGUGCGAGCGCGCGCGCUCAACAACAUCAGUGCCUGUUACGCGGCACUCAAGAACUAUGAGAUGUCGAGCAAGGUUGCGCGGGAGGUCAUCAGCUUGCAGCCCGGCAAUGCCAAGGCGCACGGCCGCGUCGCAGCCGCCGAAGAGGGUCUGAAGCGUUACAGCGAGGCUUCCUUCUACUACUCGGUGGCCAGCAGGCUGGAUGCAAAUAACUCCACGUAUGUGGACGGGGCCCAGCGCUGUCACGCACUCGUGCAGGCUGGCCGUGGGGUGGCAAGCGCAGAGGCGAAGGACGCCUAUUACUACGAGAAGAGCCUUGAGCGCGCGAUGGAGGCCAUGCAGAAGACGAGCUAUCUAGAGGCCAUUCGACACUUCGGAAAGGCGCUCGAUUUAUUCCCCUCUACCGGCACCUCGAGGGAGAAGGCAACGCUGCUGAGCAAUCGCAGCGCCGCGUACUUCCGCGCUGAGCGCAUCGAGGAGAGCGCCGAUGACGCGCUGGAGGCGAUCAAGGCGGAUGACACGUACGCUCGUGGUUUCUACCGGCUCGGUGCUGCAAAGGCGAAGCUCAAGAAGGUUGGCGACGCGUACGACGCGCUGACCAAGUGUGUCAAGCUCGACCCCAAGCACGUGGAUGCAGCGCGGCUCCUCGCCGAAGUCCUGCCGGCGGCGCUAGAGUCACGCAAAACUGCCGAAGAGCGGGCUCGCGACCACACCCGCCAGGUGGCACACAUGACGGAGCGGCUGAGCGAGAUGCAGGCGGCCGCCUCGUCAAACGCGGUGCCGCACGCGACGGCGCACGGGUCAGCGUACUCCUACUGUAACUUCUGCAACGAAACGGGACACUCGCGGUCCGAGUGCCCUCUCCUGCGGCGCAAACGCAGCCGUCCGCUCUGAUGAAAAGCGUGUGCGACUGUGCACGUCUCUCUCUGUGUAGGGGUGGAAGGUGAGAGCUGCUGCUGCUGCUGCUGCUGCUGUGCUCUUCAUUGCUGGCCGCUGCGCUUCCCCGUGUGCGUAUGUGAGCGAGGCGUGGGGAUACGGAAAACACGCAAAGAAGUGAUGAUGCCACCCUUGGUGGUUGGGUACAUUCAUAUAUCGUUGCCAGUGUGUGUGCGUGCAUGUGUGGGUGCGCUCGCCGCGCCUAGCGGCGCACUGUGCAGUGCACCUCCCUCGUCACGGUGACGUACACUUGCCUACGCAAAUCUGAAAAGGGUGUUCACAGACUGACGGUGCCCCCACCCCCGCCCCUAGCAUUACCACCACCUCUCCUUGGUGAAGAGGCCGAUGCGCUGCUGCCUUGUGCGCCAGCGAGGAGCUUUCUGGCGACGGUGGCAGUCGUUGAGAAGCCCACCUCUCACGGUCUCUCGUGAGCUGGAAGCAGCUCAUUUGCCACGCUCCAUUGCUUCUCCCUCCCUCCCUCCCUCCAUCUUGCUUGGUAUAUUACGCCUCGCUCUCUCUCUCUCUCUCUCGCGAGCACACACACACACGUGUGGGACGCGCGUGCGUGAGAGUAUCGGGUGUAG
rnacentral:misc_RNA from 1 species